CCUCACUCUGCACUCUGUCGGGAUGCUGCUUCGGGCGAGCGCACUGUGGGAAAAUGACACAGGCAGAGAAUAGCUCUCUGGAGUCUUAAUAGCAGGGCUAUUACAUCUCCUGGUUUGGAAUAAUGGUUGUGGAGUUUCUAAUAGGGUCUCCAUCGAGCGCUUUGAGUAUACAGCAUCUUUCCAAAGGUCUUGCUGGUAUUCCAGUAAUCCUUUCUGAAUUUACAAAAUCAAUAAACGGGCAACA